ACAUGCAAGUCGAGCGGAUGAAGAGAGCUUGCUCUCUGAUUUAGCGGCGGACGGGUGAGUAAUGCCUAGGAAUCUGCCUGGUAGUGGGGGAUAACGUUCCGAAAGGAACGCUAAUACCGCAUACGUCCUACGGGAGAAAGCAGGGGACCUUCGGGCCUUGCGCUAUCAGAUGAGCCUAGGUCGGAUUAGCUAGUUGGUGGGGUAAAGGCUCACCAAGGCGACGAUCCGUAACUGGUCUGAGAGGAUGAUCAGUCACACUGGAACUGAGACACGGUCCAGACUCCUACGGGAGGCAGCAGUGGGGAAUAUUGGACAAUGGGCGAAAGCCUGAUCCAGCCAUGCCGCGUGUGUGAAGAAGGUCUUCGGAUUGUAAAGCACUUUAAGUUGGGAGGAAGGGUUGUAACCUAAUACGUUGCAAUUUUGACGUUACCGACAGAAUAAGCACCGGCUAACUUCGUGCCAGCAGCCGCGGUAAUACGAAGGGUGCAAGCGUUAAUCGGAAUUACUGGGCGUAAAGCGCGCGUAGGUGGUUCAGCAAGUUUGAAUGUGAAAGCCCUGGGCUCAACCUNGGAACUGCAUUCCAAACUACCUGAAGCUAAAAGUACCGGUANAANGGUNAUGGNAAUUUUCCUGUGUAGCCGGUGAAAUGCNUUANAUAUUGGGAAAGGAACACCCANUGGCGNAAAGCGNACUUACCCUGGGACUGANACUUGA
rnacentral:rRNA from 1 species